GAGUGGCGAACGGGUGAGUAACACGUGGGUAACCUGCCCAUCAGAAGGGGAUAACACUUGGAAACAGGUGCUAAUACCGUAUAACACUAUUUUCCGCAUGGAAGAAAGUUGAAAGGCGCUUUUGCGUCACUGAUGGAUGGACCCGCGGUGCAUUAGCUAGUUGGUGAGGUAACGGCUCACCAAGGCCACGAUGCAUAGCCGACCUGAGAGGGUGAUCGGCCACACUGGGACUGAGACACGGCCCAGACUCCUACGGGAGGCAGCAGUAGGGAAUCUUCGGCAAUGGACGAAAGUCUGACCGAGCAACGCCGCGUGAGUGAAGAAGGUUUUCGGAUCGUAAAACUCUGUUGUUAGAGAAGAACAAGGAUGAGAGUAGAACGUUCAUCCCUUGACGGUAUCUAACCAGAAAGCCACGGCUAACUACGUGCCAGCAGCCGCGGUAAUACGUAGGUGGCAAGCGUUGUCCGGAUUUAUUGGGCGUAAAGCGAGCGCAGGCGGUUUCUUAAGUCUGAUGUGAAAGCCCCCGGCUCAACCGGGGAGGGUCAUUGGAAACUGGGAGACUUGAGUGCAGAAGAGGAGAGUGGAAUUCCAUGUGUAGCGGUGAAAUGCGUAGAUAUAUGGAGGAACACCAGUGGCGAAGGCGGCUCUCUGGUCUGUAACUGACGCUGAGGCUCGAAAGCGUGGGGAGCGAACAGGAUUAGAUACCCUGGUAGUCCACGCCGUAAACGAUGAGUGCUAAGUGUU
rnacentral:rRNA from 1 species